UACCAGCUCUCCGAGUUGUAGGGACGAUUAUUGGGCUUAAAGCGUCCGUAGCUGGCUUAGCAAGUCUCCUGUUAAAUUCAGCGACCUAAUCGUUGAGCCGCGGGAGAUACUACUAGGCUAGGAGGCGGGAGAGGUCGACGGUACUUUCGGGGUAGGGGUGAAAUCCUAUAAUCCCGGGAGGACCACCAGUGGCGAAGGCUGUCGACUAGAACGCGCUCGACGGUGAGGGACGAGAGCUGGGGUAGCGAACCGGAUUAGAUACCCGGGUAGUCCCAGCUGUAAACUAUGCGGGCUAGGUGUUGGGGUGGCUACGGGCCACUUCAGUGCCGCAGGAAAGCCAUUAAGCCCGCCGCCUGGGGAGUACGGCCGCAAGGCUGAAACUUAAAGGAAUUGGCGGGGGAGCACCACAAGGCGUGAAGCUUGCGGUUC
rnacentral:rRNA from 1 species